rnacentral:rRNA from 1 species
CCUACGGGAGGCUGCAGUGGGGAAUAUUGGACAAUGGGGGCAACCCUGAUCCAGCCAUGCCGCGUGUGUGAAGAAGGCCCUCGGGUUGUAAAGCACUUUCAGUGAGGAAGAACGCCUGGUGGUUAAUACCCAUCAGGAAAGACAUCACUCACAGAAGAAGCACCGGCUAACUCCGUGCCAGCAGCCGCGGUAAUACGGAGGGUGCGAGCGUUAAUCGGAAUUACUGGGCGUAAAGCGCGCGUAGGUGGCUUGAUAAGCCGGUUGUGAAAGCCCCGGGCUCAACCUGGGAACGGCAUCCGGAACUGUCAAGCUAGAGUGCAGGAGAGGAAGGUAGAAUUCCCGGUGUAGCGGUGAAAUGCGUAGAGAUCGGGAGGAAUACCAGUGGCGAAGGCGGGCUUCUGGACUGACACUGACACUGAGGUGCGAAAGCGUGGGUAGCAAACAGGAUUAGAUACCCUUGUAGUC